rnacentral:lncRNA from 1 species
CCUGGAAACAAGCCUGGUGCCGCUGUCAGACCCUAAGCUGACCGUGCUCAUCACCAACUCCAAUGUCCGCCAUUCCCUGGCCUCCAGCGAGUACCCGAUUCGUCGGCGCCAGUGUGAAGAGGUGGCCCAGGCCCUGGGCAAGGAGAGCCUUCGGGAGGUGCGGAUGGAGGAACUUGAGGCGGGCAGGGAGCUGAUGAGCAAGGAGGGUUUCCGGCGGGCCCGGCACGUGGUUAGCGAGAUCCGGCGAACAGCCCAGGGAGCAGCUGCUCUGAGCCGAGGAGACUAUAAGGCCUUUGGACGUCUCAUGGUGGAGAGUCACUAUUCCCUCAGAGAUGACUAUGAGGUGAGCUGCCCUGAGCUGGACCUAUUGGUUGAGGCUGCGCUCUCUGUGCCUGGAGUUUACGGCAGUCGCAUGACAGGCGGUGGCUUCGGCGGCUGCACUGUCACGUUGCUGGAGGCCUCUGUUGCCCCCCUUGUCAUGCAUCACAUACAGGCCGGAGCACUGCGGAGACCAUCGGAGAUGAACUUCCACUGGGCUGCAGGCUUGGCUCUGGCCAAUCUGUUUGGUAAGAAGUGUCACUCUGCCCAGAAGACUCCUGCUGACAAAGCCCCACCCUCUCCUGGCAGUAGAAGGUGGUCCUCCCUCCCUCACUGAGACCGGCCAGCGGGGUGUGUGUGUGUGUGUGUGUGUGUGUGUGCACUUUAGAGUCUCUUCCCCAGGAGGGAGGUGGGGUGCUCUCACAAUUUCAUAUCAGUGGCGGGAUUGUUCAGCCACUGUUGUCCUUCCAGGAAGGGUAGCCAGAUAAUAUAAUAUAUUGAAUGAAAUCUGGGGUGGCGGUGAGGGGAAUUGCUGGGGAUUGAACCCAGGCCUGUAUGUGAGGCAAGCAUUCGGCCACGGAGCUACACCCCUAGUCUUUGAACGAGCUUUUCUAAAAACAAACGUAUUUGAAGUUCGAGGCUUUCUGCAGUCUUAUGUUGCUUUUCUUUUCUUUGUGGUUUCUGUGUUUUUUGUAUUUUUUGCCGUUCAUUUUUUGAGACAGGGUCCCCUGUAUGUCAGGCUGGCCUCAACCUUGCUAUGUAGCCAAUCAUGGCUUUGAGCUUCUGAUCCCUCUGCCUCCCACCUCCUAAGUGCUGGCUUCAUAGACGUGCACCACCACAGCCAGUGUAUGUCGCACGGGCGGAUCGGAAUCAAUGCCUUGUGUGUGCCAGGCAAACGCUACAUUCUCAGGCCCGUGUUGUUUGCUUGCUCUUCUGAGAAGGGUUCUUGCUACCUUACUGAGGCUGCUCUCAAAACUCUUGGGCUCAAAUGGCAACCCUGCCUCACACCCUGCUAAAUUUGGCAGUUAUUCUGGCCCUAAGAGAAAUGUGCAAAAAUGAGUCCCCUUGGUUUCCCUGCACAGAAAGGUAAGCCCUGGACCAGUGACUCUGGGGAAUACACAUAAUCUCAGUACCCUUGGAAUGCAAACCAGCAGGAGUCGGAAAAUAGAAAAAAACAAACCAU